ensembl:lncRNA
GUACAGGACUUCAAAAAGCUACUAAUAGCCACAGCUGCAGUGUCAUUGUUUAGUUUUAUGCCAGUCAUGAAUUUUCAAGCUAUUGUUUUGAUUUUCAGGCUUCCACUGAUGAAGCUGGUUGCCGUGGAAAUUACUAGCCUGCAGAUGAUUCCAAUCUCAAGAAAUAUAUCACAUAAAAAAAGAGUUAAAAUCAGUUUCCUGGUAUCUGCUAUGGUGAUGGUAUGGUGGAAACUACUUUCCUGGUGGCAAAGUGGAGAAGUAAUGAAGGGCUGAUCUGGAUUUGAAGUGAGUAUUGCUGUCUGCAGGGGACCAUCAAGCCACGAUGUUUCACACAGUCACUUGUGGGAACCGAGGGCUACAAAGUGACCCCUAGGAAGGAUGGAGACAUCCACUCAUCCACCCCCCUCUGCAUGACUUCUCUCACUAACAUCCCUUACUAUUGGAUUUGCUAUGAUUAUUGUUCUCUCCUUAGUUUCAGGAAAAAUAAUAUGAGAGCAAAAUACUUGUAGGAUAAAUACUAAUGCUCCAAUGUUAUCCCCCCAGAUAUCAC